CAAGGAAUAAGUAUUAAGAAACAAAAGCAAGGAAUAAGUAUUAAGAAACAAAAGUAAGGGCUUCUUGCACUAUAUUAUUAGAAUAGAUUUACCAUUUCACCUUCUCAACCAAACACCCAAAUUGACAAGCAGGUAAGCUACAAAAAACAAGAUCUUCCAGGUAUUAAGAGGAAGCCAACACAUUAUACGAUUCCUUAAGGAAAAUUUUAAGAAAGAAGAACAUAAAAUAAAAUAAAUUUAGUAGAAGAAAUAAAAGAGGAAAAAAAACUACUCCUGCCCUAUGGUAAAUCAGAAGGCCAAAGUUUUCCAGCCAUUCCGAACCCAAAUUUCACAAACUUCCAAGCCUGGAAAUUUUUUCAAACCCAAGAAAAUUGUAACCAGCUUAAAACCGGAUCAGACACAAGAACUCGCAAACAAGUAUUCAACAAACUUAAUAUAUACCCUCUG
rnacentral:misc_RNA from 1 species